CCCUUCUUCUCCCCCAGCGGCAGUCAUGGUGGCUCGGUGGCAGCCCCGCAGCAUCGAUGGGAGAAAUCCCAUGGGAAUUAUCGAUGGUGAAAGCCUCGUUGCCCAGGCUUCCUGCUUCGAUCUGCCCCACUGUCCUUUCAUGGGCCUCAAUCUGCCCCACAAUAUCAUCAACAAGCCAACGUCAUUAAAGUACAUCACGGCCUCUUUCUGGAGCAAUCGAUCGACCACUCUUCUUCCUGGGAUAAAGUAGCGGCCAAUGGAUCCAUCUGUGAGCGGCCACAGCCGUCGUUCCUUCCGGCAAGGUGAGACGUCAAGCAGGAAAUAUCUUGGUCAUUUUACACUUGCAUUGUACGACAUGGAGGUCAAGAGGAUGUAUCCGCCUCUCCUAGGUCCAGGACAUGCCUAUACACGUAGCAGCAGUGACAGUCCAUCAGUUUCUUUCUUUUCUUCAAGAGGUUCAGUUUAUUUACAUAACUAUUUUUUGUGGCCCUUCUACAAGGAGAUUACAUCUGAGUCUUUUUUUCUUCCAUUGAGGUCUGGUGCUUGGGUAAUAUACGGGUUUAUUGCUUGUGGGGUUAACAUGCUAUAUAAAUUCAGAGCUUUAAACUAAUCUUGUGGUGAGUUCUUAUUGUAGGAUGCUAUUGCGUGGUCUUUUCUGCCCAGGUAACUAGAAUGUUUUCUAUUUUAAUUUAUCUUGAUUACUUGUUGAUGAAGUGAAGUGAUCUAAUCAGACAAUUCAAUUGACCAACGGGACGAUUCCCUCAAGUGAGGAUUUGAGAUGAUAAUUGAGAUGUAGAUGACAAAGGUUUUCACUAGGUAACGGUAUUUUUGUUUAUAAGAGGUAAUGAUAUCAUGCAUUCAUGGACGAAAGUCUGGAUUAAUUAUGCUUAGGAGGCGGCGGUAUAGUGUUGUCUCUUAAUUAAUAUAGGCGGAUGAUGAAUUUGAUCUGCUCCGGUCAGAGUCCGACUGGAUACAUACUAUAAUAUAGCAAUGUGCAAAUACAUGAUUGAUGAUUGUCACUUUAAGUUCUUUCGCGAAGUCCAAUUGAUGAUGAUUAUUACUGCAAGGAUACAACCACAGAGGGAGUAUUAUCGCAGGUCACAGGUCGCGCUCCGGUCAGAGUCCGACUGGAUACAUACUGUAAUAUAGCUCUGAGGACGGCUGGAUCAGUGAGCUAAACUAAUCAUUAAUCAUUUUUUGCAUCUUCUUCUUAUUUUGUUUCCUUCUCUGUCCCGCUUUUCUUCUCCUUGCACCCUAAAUCAGUAUAUUAGGUUCAUAAGAAAUCAAAUAUUUCUCUGACUUGCAUUGUUCAACUUUCUAUUGCCGUUCCAAUGUUUGUCUUUUCUUCUCUAUAGUAAGAAGUUGUACCUGUCUGCAGGUCAAAGAGAAAAUAUGCAGAUUUUGCCUCUAGGAUGUAUCGUGCCGAUGCAAUUACUGGGAAGUUCUUGUGGGAAUUGCACACAUCUAGGGAUAUAGGGAUCAAGACGUUGUAAAACUCACAUGAGUUGGACUUAUUUUGUUCUUGAGCGUGAGAUGAUUACAUGUGUACCCCGGAUCUGGUUGAGAUAAUGUCCAUCACUCUCCUCUGUAGGCGUGUAGCGCUAGGUUGCGGGCCUGCCGCUAACCCAGAGAGGAACGUGGUUGUUGCUGCUGCUUGAGGACUCCACUGAAAAAUAGAAGAGAAGAUGAAGAGAAGAGAAGAGAAAGGCCUGCAGAUCUUGAUGGAGAUCAUAAAAAAUUGUUCUG